UUUCCAGGAAUGCUCUUAAGUGGACAAUGGACAUGAUUUCAUCAUGGGGGCUGCCUCCUUGAAGAAGGUAAACAUAAAAUGGAAUGGUAUCACAGAAGUUUGUUGAGCAGCUAGCAUUGAUUUGCUCUGAGUCCCUUGAGAUUUACCUUAGACUCCCACAAACAUUUCUCCUCCCUUACUCAAGUGUUUCAUUGUUCAGGAGGUGCCAAUGGGGGAGGGGAAAGAGGUCAGAAUUUUCAUUUGGGCCCUCUGAGAUAGAAAUGGAUGAAAGCAUGAUCCAAGUAUUGUGAAAUGCGUUUUCCACAGGAAGACCCCACACAGAUUCUGAUCAACCUUGUUCCUCUUCUACUAUCAGGCUUUCCUCCAUACUGUCCCUGACCCACAUCCUACUGGAAAUGGAAUUCACCUAUGUUUGUUAGGUGCCCACCCCUCUGACUAAUAUUGAAGAGGUUCUUGAUAAUAUCUCAGAGAAGCUGCAUUUGUGCUUCAAAUCUUGUAUUGUUCUAGUUCCCAGACCUUGAGAAGAUCAGGAUCAAGAAGAGCCAUUCCUGCAUGCAUGUUUUGUCAUGUCUCUCACAGAAUGAGCUUGAAGCCUCAUUUCUACCUUUCAAGCUGUUUUUCUUCUGAGCACUGGGAAUUUUGAGUGAAAUGUCCAGGCUACCAGGCCCAGGGCAAAGAAAUGGUCUUGUGUUAAAGCCACAUGGAGUCUUCAUUUAAUGUUAAAAAACCAAGAUCUUCUGUGCAGCUCUUCCUCUCAGUCCUUUUUAUGAAACUAAAGUAUUCCAUGCUAUCUGAGGAAUGUAUAGUGUGGCUACCUUCACCUUAGAGAAUCUUCUACGUGGAAAGAGAUUCAACUGCUCCUUUGAUCACCUUAAGACCUGAGAAGAAUCCAUUGGCAAGGCACAAUAUUUCCACCAGUGCCAACGAGAGAGCACCUCUCCCAACAGUAGUGAUAGUCGGUAAUUUUUUGGCACUUUCCCUUCAUUUUUCUGCAUUCUAUCACUGGGUUGCAACCCACCAGCGUUUUCAGGGUACAACUCCCUAUUGCAAGUAAGUCAUUAACCAUUCAUUGAAAUGUAAUUAUCUUUUCCUCUCCCUAAACAUUUUAAUUAAUGAGAUGGAGGCUAUGUGUCAAGUCACUGCUAGAUGUAGUCUAAUUGCUAGACCAUGGGAACCAGUCAUGGGCUUCUCUUCAGCUCUGGUGAGUGCUUAGAUUUUUCUAUUUUUCCUUUCAUGAUCCAAGUAUUUAAUAUCCUGUUAAGAUGAAAUGCUUAGCAACCUUCUCAAAGCCCUUGUCGAGGUUUUUUUUUUUUUUUUUUUUUUUUUAAUUUGUUGAAAUCCAGUCAGACAGUGAGAUCAGUGACACCUUCUGGGAGUAUUCUCCCUGUACAUUCAAUGUAGAUUAUGCCCCUAGAGAUCAUUUUUCUCUUUCCAUGUAGCAAUGCACUGCUGAUUAGUAUUUGCUUUUCCUGGAAGGUCUGAAGUGGGCAAUUAGACAUGAUUACACUAGGGACUGCCUCCUUGAAGAAGUGGAGCAUUGGAUAGCAUCCUAUUUCUGAAGUUUGCUGAGAAGCUAGCAUGGACUUGGCUUCCAUGGUGAUGACAAUAUGGAACCAAAGCAGAACAGUAGAAAUGAUUAGUUCUAAGAAUUUGUAAACAUCAGGAUAAACAGGAGCCAUUCCUGCAUGUAUCUUUAGUCAGCAUGGCUGUCUCCUUCAGAAUGGGCUUGAACCCUAUUUCUGCCAUUUAAUCUGUUCUCCUUCCCUGGCCAUGGACACUUUGAGUAGAAUGUCUAAAAAAAUCUCAUUUGUGUCAAUGAAAUGAUCUUAUGCUUAUGCUGAGGUCAUCUGGAGACUUCAUGUGAAGUUUUGGAAAGCAACUUCUGUUUGACAGUUUUUCCUCUUGUUUCUGCAUCUAAAGUAUUCUAUUCCAUUUGAGUAAUCUAAAAUGUGGCUACCUCCACCUUAGUGAAUCUUUUACAUAGAAAGAGACUCAACCACUCCUUUGUUCACCUUAAGACCUGAGAAGAAUCCAUUGACAAGGCACAAUAUUUCCACCAGUACCAAUGAGAAAGCAUCUCUUCCAAAAGUCGUGAUCAUAAAUGAUUUUGUGGUGUUUGCCCAUUGGUCUUUCUGCAUUCUACCACUGGGCUGCAAUCCAACAGCGUUUUCAGAUUGAAAUUCCCUAUUGCAGGUAAGUCUUUAACCUUUGAGUGCAAAGCAAUUAUCUUUCUUCCCUGGCUAAGCAUUUUAUUUAAUUAGAUGAAGGCUAUGUGUCACACUGGUGGAUGGAGUCCUUUUGCCAGUCCAUGGGAACCAGGCAACUGCAGUCUUGGGCUUCUCCUCAGCUCUGGUUCUUGAGUGGGCAAUUGGACCUGAUUUCACCAGAGUGCUACUUCCUUGAAGAAGCCCUGCAUUCCCAUCAGGAGACUUCAUGUGACGAUAAGCAACCAAGAUCUUCUUGCAGCUCUUCCUCUGAGAUCCUGUUUGUGCAUCUAAAGUAUUCCAUGGCAUCUGAGUUAGCAUAAAUGCAGUCACCUUCACCUUCCAGAAACUUCUAGAUGGAAGGAAAGUCAACCGCUCCUUUGAUCACUUAGUCUUGAGAAGAAUCCAUGGGCAAUGCACAAUUAUUUCCACCAGCGUCAAGGAGAGAGCCCCUCUCCCAACAGCUGUGAUCAUAAAUGAUUUGUGUUGUUUUCUGUUAUGGGCCAGAAAUUCUAUACUUAAAACAAGGAUUCUUACAAGGUGCUAACUUCAGUGGAAUUGAUGAGACUGGUUAUCUAGUUUAGCAUGGUGAUUAAUAGUUCUCUAGAUCAGUAUGAUUGAUUUAAUCUUACAACAAAUAAUGGUUCCCUAGUGAUAGAAUGAUUGGUGUAUACUCAAAAUAGAGCAUAUAAAGCUGCAACAAACUCAGCCAGAUCCGAGCCAGAGACAGACUCGGAAGGGCCAGACACAGACUCGGAAGGGACCCAGAGACACAUUCAUUCCAUCAUCCACCUUUGUGGUGGCUGGAGACUGAAGCACAAGCCCUUGGACUCAGAGACAUUCAUUUCCAUCUUCAUCAGCCUCUUAGUGUCUGGCCUGUCUUCCUGCACUUCCCCCACUGAGACCAAGGCUCUUUUGAAAGGCUCUCAAGAAAGCAGGCUGGGUCCCAGGCAAGGAGACAAUAAAGAAUUUGGAUGUUGGAUUUUAACACCUGGCUAGUCUCAUGGUGAUUACUGAAAGGAAGACUGGUCCAGAGACCUCCAGAAAACCAACAGGAACAUUAUAAUUUUCCAUUUGGCCUUUCCGUGUUCUACCACUGAACAGCAAUUCAACAGUUUCUCCAUGUGAAACUCCCUAUUGCAGGUGAAGACUGUGUGUCACACUGGUGGAUGGAGUCCUAUUGCAAGUCCAUGGGAACCAGGCUUCUCCUCAGCUCUGGAUUUUUUCAGGAAGUGUUUGGUGGAUUCUUCCAGGUUCUAUUUUACCCUCCAAUUCUAGGAUACCAGGGCAGCUUUCGUUGACAAUUUCUUGAAAGAUGCUGUCCAGCACCUCUGAGAUACCACUACACACCUGUCAGAUGGGCUAAGAUGACAUGAAAAGAGAAUGAUAAAUGUUGGAGGGGAGAUGGGAAAACUGGGACACUGAUACAUUGUUGGUGGAACUGUGAACGGAUCCAACCGUUCUGAAGAGCAAUCUGGAAUUAUGUCCAAAAAGUUAUCAAACUGUGCAUACCCUUUGAUCCAGCAGUGCUACGACUGGGCUUAUGCCCCAAAGAGAUCUUAAAAGGAGGGAAAAGGACUCGUGUGCAAAAAUGUUUGCGGUGGCAAAAACUGGAAAUGGAGUGAAUGCCCAUCAAUUGGAGAAUGGCUAAAUAAAUUGUGGUACAUGAAUGUUAUGGAAUAUUAUUGUCUGGUAAGAAAUGACCAACAGGAUGAUUUUAGAAAGGUCUGGAGAAACUUACAUGAACUGAUGCUGAGUGAAAUGAGCAGGACCAGGAGAUCAUUAUAUACCUCAACAACAAUAUUAUAUGAUGAUCAAUUCUGAUAGACAUGGCCCUCUUCAACAGUGAGAUGAUUCAAACCAGUUCCAAUUGUUCAGUGAUGAAGAGAGCCAUGUACAUCCAGAGAGAGGACUAUAGGAACUGAGUAUGGACCACGACAUAGCAUUUCCACUGUUUCUGUUGUUUGCUUACAUUUUUGUUUUCCUUCUCAGGUUUUUCUACUUUCUUUCUAGAUCCAAUUUUUCUUAUGCAGCAAGAUAACUGUAUAAAUGUGUAUACAUAUAUUGUAUUUUAUAUAUACUUCAACAUGUUUAACAUGUAUUGUUACCUGCUAUCUAGGAGAGGGAAUGGGGGCAAGGAGGGGAACAAUUGGAACAGAAGAUUUUGCAUAGGUCAAUGUUGAAAAAUUAUCCAUGCAUAUGUUUUGUCAAUAAAAAGCUAUAAUAAUAAAAAUUACAAGAGAAAUCCAAUAAAAAAGAAAUGAGAGAGAGAGAGAGAGAGAGAGAGAGAGAGA